rnacentral:other from 2 species
ACGUUUCUGCGAUGUACGUAAGCCUAUAUAAUUCAACCGACAUAAGACAUAUGGGAGUCUUUAGUUCAACAGUCUAUAACAUGCCUCCUCUGAGUGGAAGUUAGAAGCUGCUGACAGAUACCCACCUUUUAAAAGGCGGGCGUGAAUUAGCUGGGAGUACGGCACCGCGGGAUAUAA